rnacentral:rRNA from 1 species
AUUGAACGCUGGCGGCAUGCCUUACACAUGCAAGUCGAACGGCAGCACGGGUGCUUGCACCUGGUGGCGAGUGGCGAACGGGUGAGUAAUACAUCGGAACGUACCUUAUCGUGGGGGAUAACGCAGCGAAAGCUGUGCUAAUACCGCAUACGCCCUGAGGGGGAAAGCGGGGGAUCGCAAGACCUCGCGCGAUUAGAGCGGCCGAUGCCUGAUUAGCUAGUUGGUGGGGUAAAAGCCCACCAAGGCGACGAUCAGUAGCUGGUCUGAGAGGACGAGCAGCCACACUGGGACUGAGACACGGCCCAGACUCCUACGGGAGGCAGCAGUGGGGAAUUUUGGACAAUGGGGCAACCCUGAUCCAGCAAUGCCGCGUGAGUGAAGAAGGCCUUCGGGUUGUAAAGCUCUUUUGUCAGGGAAGAAACACCGGCUCUAACACAGUCCGGGAAUGACGGUACCUGAAGAAUAAGCACCGGCUAACUACGUGCCAGCCGCCGCCGUAA